rnacentral:misc_RNA from 1 species
AUGAACUUUCCCGUGCUUUUUAGAACAUAGAUGGCACCAGUCAGGUGACCAUCGAAACGUAAUACGCCACGGAAGUUGCUUUUAGCGCUCGGUUGGUAUGGCAGGUCUCGCCGUCCACGUUUCUCUUUCUUCAAAAAGGAUAUAAACCUUUGGUUUGCGCUCACGCCUGUUCGGAUCUUCGAUCCUGGCUCCGCGAGGGCGCCGGAUGACCGGCGACGGCCUCUGGCCUGUAUGGGUGUCCAGUUGGACGCGUCAUAUGUUCGGUUGGAAGGGCCCGUAGCUCAGUUGGUUAGAGCACACGCUUGAUAAGCGUGGGGUCGGUAGUUCGAGUCUACCCGGGCCCACCAUUGGUUUUUGGAAUUUGCCUGAUCCCUGGCGGUUAUGCUGUCGGGUGUUUGCGAUGGUUGGGGCUGUAGCUCAGCUGGGAGAGCACCUGCUUUGCAAGCAGGGGGUCAGCGGUUCGAUCCCGCUCAGCUCCACCAAUCGCUAGCGCGAUUGGUGAGGUUAUGUCUUGACGCUGUCGCGGCUUUGCCGCUGCGCUCCAGACGGGCCGGCCAAUGAUGGCCGACGGCCGACCGGCCUGUGUGGGUGGAUUGAUCGGUAAGUUGAAUAUCCUUUUGAAGAAAUAAAAGUUUGCAUCUUCUGCUAAGUAAGAUGCCUGUUCUGAAUACAUUGUGAAGAGAAGAUAUGUCUGGAAGCGUCCAGGUGUUUUGGGUUUAUGCCCGAAACGUCCGAGACCAAUCCUUGUGAAACCAUGUGAUGGCUUAGUCGGCCGGAAUUGGUGGAGGGGUUGGAGGUAGGAAGGAUCGCUUGUCCGAGGCAUUUUUGUUGUUGGAGCUUUUGCUCCUCUGAUGGGAAUGCUGGAUUGAUGUUGCCUGACCGCGCAUCACCGGAUGAUAUCUCGAGAAGCUGGUCUUAAUGAUACGACCUCGAAGUGCACCGGCGUGCCUUCAAAGAGGAUUGUAUCGAACACGUCGAUGUCAUCAGGAGAUGAUCUGGUUGUAAAAGGUAACCGGAUUGCCGUUCCUUUGGAACGGCUAUGGAUGAGCAUAGACAAUGAGAACGAAGAAGUGAAUUAAGGGCAUUUGGUGGAUGCCUUGGCAUGCACAGGCGAAGAAGGACGUGAUACGCUGCGAAAAGCCGUGGGGAG